UACGUAGGGUGCGAGCGUUAAUCGGAAUUACUGGGCGUAAAGCGUGCGCAGGCGGUCCGCAAAGUCUGAUGUGAAAGCCCCGGGCUCAACCUGGGAACUGCAUUGGAAACUAACGGGCUCGAGUGUGGCAGAGGGGGGUGGGAAUUCCAACGUGUAGCAGUGAAAUGCGUAGAGAUGUGGAGGAACACCGAUGGCGAAGGCAGCCCCCUGGGCUAACACUGACGCUCAGGCACGAAAGCGUGGGGAGCAAACAGG
rnacentral:rRNA from 1 species